GAAAAUACAGCAUUUAUGAAACUUGUUGUAUUUUAACCCCAGAUCAACUUUGAUCAGCAGACCCUGUGAGCAAAAAUAAUUCUACCAUAACCAUUCCAUCCUUUUACUGCAUGAUCUAGAGUACAUUAUCUGAUGUGUACUUUAUUAAAAAUAGUAGAAUGCCGUUUAAAGGACAUGUGGCUGCAAUUACAACCAGAUCGAGCGAUCACAUAGGUAUUCCGCUUUGACUCAUUGAUAAAUAUUUCAUAAUGUGGUCAAUACGAUUGGGAGGGAAUAAGGGGUUGUUAGAAAUUAUUGUCCGUUACUGGUACUCCGUAGGUUACGACGAUGAGGGUUCCAGUUGAUCCGAUUGACAGAACAGCCUGCUCGUGAAAUUAAUGUGCAAGUGGUCGACAGCUCCGCAGACACACAUGCCCUUAACGCAGUUUUUAAGGACAUUCAGUGCGACACAGAAUUACGGGUACAAUCCAUUUUUGGAGCUGCGUGGAGUGAAGCAGCGUGAAAUGAAGUGUCUUGCUCAAGGACACAACGCGCCGCCGGGAAUCGAAUUCACAACCUUACAAUCGUCAGCUGAUUAUCAUAACUACUAAGCUACGCUUCUUCACUGUUUGCCAUCACAUAAAAUAAUAGAAGCAACAGCUACAUCUCAUUCAAAUUACCCCUGGCCUUCUUAGUAAAGAACAUAGUGAAAAAUGUAGUCUAGAGUCCAAUGCAACAAAAGAAAAAUACGAUUUUGCUUAUCUCAAAUGCAGGCAAUCGUAAAUCUGCUCAGUGAGGAAUUACUUGAUGUUAGACAAACAAAAAAAAUAACUGAAAUAACAAUAUUGAUUUAGAUUUAGAAGUGGCAAGGAAAUCUCUCUUAGGCGACUGCACUUGCUAGAAAUAGUGGGAAAAUAGCUCUCAUCACAUUGUUUUUUUAAAUGAGUUCGUAGUUAUCGACACAGGUAAUAAUACGAUCCUGGAUACACACCAUACGAACAAAAUGCUUAGCGGUGAAAUGCUUAGCAGUAUUUCGUCUGCCGCUACGUUCUGAGUUCAAAUUCCGCCGAGGUCGACUUUGCCUUUCAUCCUUUCGGGGUCGAUUAAAUAAGUACCAGUUACGCACUGGGGUCGAUAUAAUCGACUUAAUCCGUUUGUCUGACCUUGUUUGUCCCCUCUGUGUGUAGCCCCUUGUGGGUAGUAAAGAAAUAACACACCAUACGAACAAAAAUGGGAUGGUUACAGUUUGGACUCUUUUAAUAAAAGGUCUACCUUGAUCAGGCCUAUACCAGGAGUAAAGCAACAUAUUUGAAUAUUUUGAAUUCUGCAACUGCUUGAUUUGAUCAAUUAAUAAUUUCUUUUGUGUUGUAUUGACGCCCUCACCGUUACGCUGGAGUAUUCUGAGAGCGGAGUAUAAGUUUCAUCUCUAAAUGAAUGAAUCAGAUUAAUAUUCUAGCGGUCUCCUUCUGGACAGUUAUUACAAGGGAGAUAAUCAUUUCUUCAUUAUAUUUGUCGGGAUUGGAGACUUAGAUAUUAAAUUAAGGAAUCAUAAGGAAGAACAUGCAUAGAAUUCGCCGUUUUUUUUUGUUUGUUUAUUUAUUAUAAAGUUCUUAAUUUUUUUUAGUCAGCGGUAAUCAUGUAUAACACUAUUUCAUUCUUUUUAGAAUUUUCUUUUUUAGAAAUUGUAGCCUAGGAUUUAUUAAUCAAGCAUUUUAUGAAGCGCAACAUUUCUUAUAGGUGAAAAGUAAUUGCAGUUUAGAAGAAAUGAACAUAAAGUGCGUUUUCCUCUUUUAUUUUUCUUCGUUAUAAAGCAUUAGUAAAUUUGCACUCGUGAGAAAUUCGAAAGUUCUUAGGUUCUACAUAUAGAAGCUGUUUUUCAAAGAAUUCUACCGUAUGAUGGUGUCUUGAAGUAGUUAAUAUUUUUGGUUCUUUCAACUGCAAACAAAAUUCGAUGUAUUUUUUAAAUCGUUUCCCGUUUUCUCUCUCACAGAAUCCCAACUCAAACUACAAUAAGUCCAGUAGAUGUAUGCAAAGGUAAAUCAUCUGGAACUUUUCCAGACCCACUCUCAUGUAAGCGCUUUUACGUAUGCAUCAAUGGAAAAGGAUUUAUUGCUCUCUGUGAAGCUAAUGAGUUAUUCGAUCAUGUUUCAAAUGGUUGUGUUGAAUCAUCUGUGGCCAAAUGUUCAUGAGUUUCUCCAAGAAGACCACGAAGCAAUCUUGGAAAUUAAUAAAUUUGAGAGUAUUUAUCAAGGAUUACUCAUAACAGGAAAUUUCCAGUUUGUUGGUAAAAUAUUGUAUUUAAUAACAUUUUAUGAAUAUUUAAAAUGCAUUAAGUUUAAUUUCUCUCUGCAAUUUGUUUAAACUUGAUUAAAAAUCUUUUGUAAUAUUUUAAAA